AACGCACAUUGCGCCCCCUGGUAUUCCGGGGGGCAUGCCUGUCCGAGCGUCAUUGCUGCCCUCAAGCACGGCUUGUGUGUUGGGCUCCGCCCCCCUCCCGGGGGGCGGGCCCGAAAGGCAGCGGCGGCACCGCGUCCGGUCCUCGAGCGUAUGGGGCUUUGUCACCCGCUCUGUAGGCCCGGCCGGCGCCCGCCGGCGACCCCAAUCAAUCUUUCCAGGUUGACCUCGGAUCAGGUAGGGAUACCCGCUGAACUUAA
rnacentral:misc_RNA from 3 species